UGGGGAAUAUUGGACAAUGGGCGAAAGCCUGAUCCAGCGACGCCGCGUGAGGGAUGAAGGCCUUCGGGUUGUAAACCUCUUUUAAGAAUGAGGAAUAUCUCUACAAAAUAGAGAUUGACAGUAAUUCUUGAAUAAGCCACGGCUAACUACGUGCCAGCAGCCGCGGUAAUACGUAGGUGGCGAGCGUUACUCGGAUUUACUAGGUGUAAAACGUGGGUAGGUGGUCUGGUAAGUUAAAGGUGAAAUUUACGAUUAAAAUUGUAAAAGUCUUUUAAUACUGCCAGGCUUGAGUGUAAAAUGGGGAAUCGGAAUUCCAGGUGUAGCGGUGAAAUGCGUAGAUAUCUGGAGGAAUGCCGAUGGCGAAGGCGGGUUCCUGGUUUAUUACUGACACUGAGCCACGAAAGCCGGGGGAGCAAACAGG
rnacentral:rRNA from 1 species